rnacentral:rRNA from 1 species
GACGAACGCUGGCGGCGUGCUUAACACAUGCAAGUCGAACGGAUAGGCCCUGCUUUUGUGGGGUGCUCGCGUGGCGAACGGGUGAGUAACACGUGAGUUAACUGCCCUUGCCCUUGUGAUAACUCCCGUAAAAUGGGGCCUAUUCCGGAUAGGAGUUCCUGUUGCACGGUGUGGGUCGGAAAGUUUCGGCGGUUUGGGAUGGACUCGCGGCUUAUCAGCUUGUUGGUGGGGUAGUGGCUUACGAAGGCUUUGGCGGGUAGCCGGCCUGAGUGGGUGAGCGGCCAGAUUGGGACUGAGGUGCGGCCCAGACUCGUACGGGAGGCAGCAGUGGGGAGUAGUGCGCUGUGGGCGGAAGGCGGGUGCAGCAACGCCGCGUGCGGGAUGACGGCCUUCGGGUUGUAAACCGCGUUCGCCUGUGACGAGGCGUGAGUGACGUUGAUGGGUAAAGAAGCACCGGCUAACUACGUG